UACGUAGGGACCAAGCGUUGUUCGGAUUUACUGGGCGUAAAGGGCGCGUAGGCGGCUUGACAAGUCACUUGUGAAAUCUCCGGGCUUAACUCGGAACGGCCAAGUGAAACUGUCAUGCUAGAGUGCAGAAGGGGCAAUUGGAAUUCUUGGUGUAGCGGUGAAAUGCGUAGAUAUCGGGAGGAACACCUGUGGCGAAAGCGGCGCACUGGACCAUAACUGACGCUGAGGCGCGAAAGCUAGGGGAGCAAACAGG
rnacentral:rRNA from 1 species